rnacentral:rRNA from 1 species
GACGAACGCUGGCGGCGUGCUUAACACAUGCAAGUCGAACGAAGUGGCGAACGGGUGAGUAUCGCGUAAUCAACCUGCCCUUCAGAGGGGGACAACAGUUGGAAACGACUUCUAAUACCGCAUACGGAAGGAGGGGAUUGCGUCUGCUUGGUUAGUUGGAGGGGUAACGGCCUACCAAGGCGAUGAUCAGUGGCGGGUCUGGGAGGAUGAACGGCCACAUUGUGACUGAGACACGGCCCAGACGCCUACGGGAGGCAGCGGGGGGGAAACUGCCGCAAUGGACGAAAGGCUGACGGAGCAACGCCGCGUGGGUGAUUACGGCCUUCGGGUUGUAAAGCUCUGUUAAUCGGGACGCGGUACCGGAAGAGAAAGCCACGGCUAACUACGUGCCAGCAGCCGCGGUAAUAC